rnacentral:rRNA from 1 species
GAACUGCUUCCAAAACUGUUAACCUAGAAUGUGGGAGAGGUAGAUGGAAUUUCUGGUGUAGGGGUAAAAUCCGUAGAUAUUAGAAGGAAUACCGAUUGCGAAGGCGAUCUACUGGAACAUAAUUGACGCUGAGACGCGAAAGCGUGGGGAGCAAACAGGAUUAGAUACCCUGGUAGUCCACGCCCUAAACGAUGUACACUAGUUGUUGUGAGGCUAGACCUUGCAGUAAUGCAGUUAACACAUUAAGUGUACCGCCUGGGGAGUACGGUCGCAAGAUUAAAACUCAAAGGAAUAGACGGGGACCCGCACAAGCGGUGGAGCAUGUGGUUUAAUUCGACGAUACGCGAAGAACCUUACCUGGUCUUGACAUAGUAUGAACUUUUUAGAGAUAAAUUGGUGUCUGCUUGCAGAAACUUACAUACAGGUGCUGCACGGCUGUCGUCAGCUCGUGUCGUGAGAUGUUGGGUUAAGUCCCGCAACGAGCGCAACCCUCGUCGUUAGUUGCUAACAGUUCGGCUGAGAACUCUAACGAGACUGCCUACGCAAGUAGGAGGAAGGUGAGGACGACGUCAAGUCAUCAUGGCCCUUACGACCAGGGCUACACACGUGCUACAAUGGGGUAUACAAAGAGCAGCGAUACGGUGACGUGGAGCGAAUCUCAAAAAUGCCUCCCAGUUCGGAUUGUAGUCUGCAACUCGACUACAUGAAGUUGGAAUCGCUAGUAAUCGUAGAUCAGCUAUGCUACGGUGAAUACGUUCCCGGGUCUUGUACUCACCGCCCGUCACACCAUGGGAGUUGAAUUCAUUCGAAGCGGGGAUGCUAAAGUA